UUCUGAGGCUCAUAGUUUAAAACUAUAAAUGAUUAGAUCAGAUACAAAUUCAAGUAAGUCAUUUCCUCUAUUUUUCUUUCCUUUAGUAUUAUCAUUAUCUUGAAAUUAAUGAAAAUAAUACCUGAAAAAUUUGCAUAAUAGCACUGGCAUGUAACAAUAAAUUUCAAAUAAAUGCCCAUUAUUAUUCCAUACUUAUUGGCUGGAAAAUCAUUUCAAAUUGGAGGAUACUUUCCGAGUUGUAGAGAUAGAUGCCUAUAUUAGCCACGUGUUAAUAAAUUUAGCUUUUAUUUGAGAUUUAUGAGUCAGGGAAGCCUCCACCAUAUAAAAUAGGCAAUGGUAGAACAGUGAGUUUUGCAAAGUAGGAACAAAGAAACAGAACAACAACAAAAUCUAACUGGUUACAUCAGGUUACUUUUUUUUGUAUAAGGUUUAAAGUCUCUGUAUCCUGGAAUUGUAACAAUUAAAGUUCUGGUUCCUUUGCCACCUGAUGAAGCAAUUGCAGAGACAGAUGGGAGGAGAAUGAGCUUUACUGGCAAGAAGCUGGCAAGUUGGAAGAUUCCAUUUUGCCAGGAUGUUACUUUGGUCAUUUGGUGAAGGCCUGAAGGUCAUUUAGUGGUGCAUGCCUGUAAUCCCAGUGGUGGUUAAGUGCUCCUGUGUUCAAUCCUGGUACUAAAAAAAAAAAAAAAAAAA
rnacentral:lncRNA from 1 species